CAUCUUGAAGUCAAAACAUAUUGUAAUGGUCCCUUUUAAUUCUCUUGUUUAAAUUCUAGUAGUCUACAUGCAUCCAAGUCUUUCCAGUCUUAUUACUGUGGAUAAGGCCUAUGGACUGUGGUGCUGGGUGAUGAUACUACUUACUUGAUGUGGUUUUGAACGUCUUCAUCUUAAAGUUUCUCAAAUGAUCCUUCAAUUCUUCAGGCAUGGAAGGUUGGAGUCUCCUCUCUCUUUACCUACAACAGAGAAGAAGGAGCAAAAGGUCAAGGAGGCCCCAUUUUGGGGGGAACCAUAUGGCCUUGCUGAAGGGUAGCCCUAUAGCCAUUCCUUCCCCUUUAACCCAUGGUCUCUCACCUGAUGCUGUGUGGAUUCUUGGGCUUUGAGAUGAUCAAGUAAUUCCCAUAUUGACUGAGAAGAGCAGUGGACCUUUAAGAAAAGGGAAUGAUUCCACUCUUGGCUCUGACUACCUUUAAUUCUCCAGUGUAGCAGGUAUGUCCUUCUCACUAGGUUUCCCAUGAAGGGGAUGGGGGAGGGACAGAGCCCUUUCCCUCAAUCCAGGCCAUAUGAUGAGUUCUCUCAUUUGGCAACUAGAUCUAGGUGAGAUUCUACCUAAGACUCUGGUUGCCUUUUCUAAUGUUUGUUUCCUUUAAUGAGUAGGUAACCAUCAUUGGUCUUGAGAUGGACAAUUCUGGGCUAUCUGUGUUCAAGGUGUCUUGAAGUUCUAGGUCCAUUGAAUGGAGCUGACUGGUGUGAGGGGAGAUUCUGCAUCAGAGAAGAUGGCCAGCAAUAAGAAGAGAUGUCCUAGCUCAUCUGGCCAGUGGAAAUGGACUUUGACAGCAAACGUAGAGUCAAGGUGAAAAUGAACAAUGCCUAUUUAGCAGUCCCAGAAACUGUUUUAUGUUCUGAUGAGUUUAAGUAUCAACUUCCCAGGAGAGUAUAGCAGUAGAUCUAAAUUAAGUAGCUGAAUCUUAUUUAAAGUCUUUCUGUAUUUUGUAUGUAGGAAAUAAAUAACUAUCACACCUGAUUCAUAUUGUACAUAAAGUUCUUUGAGACAAUCUUUGAGUACAUCAUUCCUAGGGAGUAAUGAGCUGAAGAUCAUGAGAAAAAUGGGCCUAAUCUUUCUCAUUAGAGGCUAUGUUCCUAAGAGGAAUGCACCAAUUCCAACUGUGAGCAACAUUCUAGAUUUUAGAAGGCUCCAUAGAGGGAGUGUGUUCAGUAUCCUAGCUCCUUAGGUCCACAGGUGAGUGAGGGUGAAAAAAAAAUGAGUGAAAGGAAGGAAAGAACUGGUAAGAUGUAAGCUAUCCACCUUAAGCAAUGGGCUUUAUUAACACUCAGCAGAAUUAAAUCCUUGUAUUCAGAAUGCGUUAUCACAUUUUUGGAAGAUGUUUGAUCAUUAGGCAUUCACAUAUACUAAAAAUUAAGCUAUCUUUGACUAGAAAUUCAUUGGUUAAGACAUAAUAGGACUAUUUAUGAGCAGUCAUGUAAAGUCUAUAAGGAAAGAGACAGCCCUUCUAUGUUCUCUUCAUGUGAGCCUUCCUCUCUUUCUAUCAGCUUUGGCAUUUAUCAGUAGCAUUGCUAGGCAGCCCAGACCCUAAAUCAUGCCAUCAGAAGCUAACCUGUAUGGGGUUAGUGGCCCAUCUGCCUCACCACCACACAUGUAACAUUGCUCCCUUUUCACCUCUUGCUUAGAGAACAAUAGUCAGAUCAAAGCUACCAUUGCUACCCAGAAAAGUGUAGCAAAUCCAGGCCCAUCUGUCUGCCCACCCAGUUCCCAAAAGCCAUUAUGGCUGCCCAGAGGAUAGAAGAGGUGCUGGCCUCAAGCAAGAGUGCGAAACAGGAGGUUUGCUUUUAACUCUUCACGCCUCUUCUUUCUCUGUCUAUUCCUCUUCUACCCCUAACCUAAGUGGUCAUUGCUGCCUAGGGCCCUACACACCAAAAUAGUUUUUUUCUUUUUCUGCUUCCCCACAUCUAGGCAUGUGCUGGCAAACGUUUAACAACUAACUCCCCCAAAACUCAAUAUAUACUUUUAAGUUUAAUUUGCAUUUUUAACAUUUUUCCAUUACUAUCUGAA